rnacentral:misc_RNA from 1 species
GCUUUAAUCAUUGAUGGGAAGACUCUAACUUAUGCUCUCGAGGAUGAUAUGAAGCUUCAAUUCCUUGGACUCGCUGUUGAUUGUGCAUCGGUCAUUUGCUGUCGAGUCUCCCCCAGGCAGAAGGCACUGGUAACAAGGUUAGUGAAAGAAGGUACUGGGAAAACCACUUUAGCGAUUGGUGAUGGUGCAAACGAUGUAGGAAUGAUUCAGGAG